CAUUUGUUUGUUUUGUUUGCAGAAGCCCUGCAGGCUCUCUUCAAAGCCUCUGAAAGAUAAUAGUUGACCAGAAGGUGAAACCUGGGAAAAGCUGCAUGAAGUCUGCAAAGAGCUAAGUAGCAGUUGAUUUGUUUAACUUCAUUUGCUUCUUUCACAUUUCUUACAAGCCCUAGGUGGCCUCCUGGUGUUAUCUACUAGCUCUGCCCUAAACAGUGGGUCCUUAGCCAAAGCCAGCAGCCAAAGUAAAAGUGGCCAGCUCUGCUGACAUGACCACAUGCCUGUCUGUGAUCUGCCCAAAAGCUACCCAUAACAGCAGGGAUGUAGGUUGUAGCCGUGUUGGUCUAAGGACAUAGGCAGACAAGGUUCCUUGGGUGAAUCUGAUAUCUUUUAUUAGACCAACCCAAAUAGAGCACACACUAACUGCUGAAACUUCCUUAGCCUGAUGAAGGGUUUUUGAACCCAAAAGCUUGCUUAAUAACUAUUCUCCAACUAUUUGGGUUGGUCUAAUAAAAGAUAUCAGAUUCACUCAAGGAACCUUGUCUACCCAUAACAGCAUACGUUUACAUCAUUUUGGGGCAAUACAAAUGGACACAAUGGAACAUACCAAAUGAUGAUCCAUCCAGCAAUCAUCUGUGCUAGUCAUGGCUCUGGUGAUUAUGGAUAUUGCAACUGUUCUAGGCAUGCACAAUGAUGUAAUCAAGUGCCAGUGUUUUGAGUGGGGGUGCAUCCAUGAUGUCUUCCUUCUUUCCUUUUGGUGGAAAAGGAGUUCAUGAUGGUGAGGUUAUAUUCUGCAUGCUUGCUCAGGAGAAUUCUAUUUGAAUUGACUUUCCCCACCCCUUCCUUUCCAAGUGUUCCUUUCCACAGCUUAGAGUCCCUGCCCACUCUGGCUAGGGACAGGCAUUCAAAAAGUCUGAGCCUGAAUUGAUUCAAUCUUUGCAGGUUAGUCUAACCUGGGUAGGCUGAACCAGUUUGUAACUGGACAGACAUUCUGUCUGAAAUUUAGGCACAUGCCUGUAGUGGCUCAGGCUAGAAGCCAGGGGAUGCUAGAGAGCCUUCUCUUCCCUUACACAGAGCUGAACUGAGCGGGGCAUGGCCAGGCCCAGGCCCAGGCAGGAUGCUCUGAUUAGGGAGGUCUGCCUGCAGCAUCCCAGGCUUUUACCUGCUGGCUGCUCAAGGGGCAGCAGUGUUGCCAGCCCCCAGCCCCCUGCUAGCACUCUGAGGCAGGGUGUGUGUGCAGUGUAUGCAUCUGUUGAUGAAAUGGAGCUUUUCAAUCUCCCUCUCCCCUGCUUCUUUAUACUGUCUGCAGCAAACUAACAGGUGAGCAAGCUAGCAGGGAGCUGAUAAGUGUUUAUCACCCCAUCAGCAAAACAAUACCCUCUCUCCAUUAAUUCAAACUCUUCUUAAACAGCUUACUGACUGACCUGUUGAUUAGCUCCCAGAAGUCCUAAGGGGUCACUGUUCUGUCUGCCUGUCCCACUAAAAUUGAAGAUGCACAGAGACAUCUCUCAGCAUUAGCUAGCAUACUACAUGCCUAUGGUCCAUGGGGCUAGGGUCUGUGCUGUGGGAGAUAGGAGGGAGGGAGUGGAUCCCUGCUUGUCCAGCAAGCAGUGAGGUGGGGUAGGACAGGGGGAAGCCUAGCAGACCCUGCUGUACCUGCAGUCUCUACCAGAGCUCCAGCCAGGGAGCAGAGGGGGGGGGCCAGCCCUGCUGUGGAGCAGAGAGUCCCCCCCAACCCAGAAAACAUGCCAGGAUGCUGUGGGAGUCUGGUUUAUGUUAAAACAGCAAGGGGUCUGGGACAGACAUUGCCUAAACUGGUUUGAGCUAAAUCAGUUAAGUCUCAUACUACAUUGAACCAGGUUUCUCUCAAACCGGUUUCAGCCAUUUUCAAACUGGUUUAUGUGCACUGAACAUCUGUUCUGUUACAGGUUUAAACUAGUUUCUGAUCACUUAAACAGGUUUAUGUGUAGUGUCUGUCCCUAGCCCCUAGCACUGAAAUUGCCAAGAAUUGUCUUAUUUUCUUUGAAGACAGAUGACAGGACUUGAUUGAGUUUAGAAUAACAUUCUUCUUUUGUUUCAUCGUCUGCAUCUAGGGCUAGGGUAUAUGCACUGAUGACUGUUGCAUGUUGUCUGCUGGUCAGUUGUAGACAAAGGAUCAUGAGAUGAAGGAUCCAGUGAAGCCCAUAGUGGCGGAACCGUAACAGCACAUCACAAUAGGUCCCCACUCCCCAUGUAUUUGGAAGAACUUUGGAGCUUAAUUACUAAAUAGCUAGCUUGUGACUGGGCAUUGUCACUCUCCAGGUCAGUGUGCAGCAAGAGAUCCAUAUUCCCUCCACUGUGGUGAAAGGUAAGAACAACUUGAGGUAAGAGGAAAUGAAGUUUAGAGGAGAACCAGAGGAUAUGUGACAGCAAGAGACAACAGCCUGGAAGUUGUUGCAGAUGCCAGCUUGAUGGAGACUAGCCACAGCAACGAGGUUGCGGCCAGCAAGCAACCAAAUAGCGUAGAAAGGGAAGCAACACUGCAGUAUAUUAGUCUUCUGAAGUUCAGUGCUUCCAAGCUCUAGGUUGAGAACUUUGGGGGCUUUUUUCUUUGCUUGUUGUUUUUGCCUAACAAUUUAAAAAAAAUGUUGAGGCCAGGACAUUUGGGCCUUUAAUUUUUGGUAACCUUAGUAAAGAAACAUCCUACAUGUGAAAGCAUUUCCUGGGAAACUAAUAAAGUCUUGAAUCUAA